rnacentral:rRNA from 1 species
GAUGUAUUUAGCGUGGGUUUGUGGUUUUUAUUAGCAGGUCAAGCAUGCAGGCAAGGGCAGGGUGUAGUUUGGUAAAUUAGUAAGUCUGCUAUUGUAAGAGGUAAAAUUGGUGCCAGCAUCUGCGGUUAUACUUGGUCUUUAAAACUAAUUUAGAUAGGCUAUUUUUUCAAGCUAUAGAUUGGUUUUGGUGAAAUAGGAUUAGGUUAGCUUUUGGUGAGAAGGUCAGGUCGGGUAGAACCAGGAUUAGAUACCCUGCUAUUAUUUAUUAGAUCUAAUGACUAUAGAUAUAAGUUACAUGGUUUGGCGGCUUAAUCUGUUUAGAGGAGUUUGCUUUUAAUCGAUAAGGCUCGGUAGCUCUUGUCCAUGUAAUUUAUGUACACCGUCAUUUAGUUAAUUUUAAUAGAAAAAUUAAGGUGCUUAGUUAAGUAGAUUAGAUCAAGGUGCAGAGCAGGUGGAAAGUAGUUAACUACAAUAUAGAAUAAUAGUAUAGGCAUGAGAAGGCAGACUUUAAUAAGUGGAUUUAAAAGUAAUUAGUUAUGUUUGAUUCUGUCUAUUAAGUGUACAAAUUGCCCGUCAGUCUCUUAGAGAUAAGUCGAAACAAAGUAGAAGCACCGGAAGGUACUUCU